UAUAAUGUGAGAGAAUUUGGGCUGCAGAGGAAGAAAUAGGAAGAUGAGUUUUGGAUUUGAUAGUUUUCCUUUUAAUGAAAGUGUUGGAUAAUAAAUGGUAUAUUAUACUAAAGGUAUGUUGCUCUCUCCAUCUCCCCAAGUGGAUUCUGCACCUCCCCACUAUGUUAAUUUAUUUCAAAAAUAUUCUACACCUCCCCACUAUUUUCUUUUAUUCCAAAAAUACCCUACACCUCUCCACUAUCCUUAACAAUCUUUCUCUUUCUCUCUCUACGUUAAUGGGACAUUUACAUUGCUCAUU
rnacentral:lncRNA from 1 species